rnacentral:rRNA from 1 species
AUUGAACGCUGGCGGCAGGCCUAACACAUGCAAGUCGAACGAGUGGCGGAAGGGUGAGUAAUGUCUGGGAAACUGCCCGAUGGAGGGGGAUAACUACUGGACACGGUGGCUACUACCGCAUACCAUCGGAUUGGCCCCGAUGGGAUUAGCCAGUAGGUGGGGUAACGGCUCACCUAGGCGACGCUCGCUACCUGGUCUGAGAGGAUGACCAGCAACUCUGGAAUGGAGACACGGUCCAGACCCCGACGGGAGGAAGCAGUGGGGAAUGUUGCACAAUGGGGGCAGUCCUGCGGCAGCCAUGCCGCGGGUAUGAAGAAGGCCUUCGGGUUGUAAAGUACUUUCAGCGAGGAGGCGUUACUCGCAGAAGAAGCACCGGCUAACUCCGUGCCAGCAGCCGCGGUAAUAC